UGUUUGAUGAGGGUACUUUCGAUGUCUAAGUUAGACGGAUUCUCAAAAAAUAGCGAAGAUAUUGUGAGAGCAAUAGAAUGACGACAUAAAGGCAUAAUAGGACUCAAAAGCACUUAUUUAGAAGGUCUUCCAAGAAUAGUUUAUAUGGGCGAAGGUUGGUGCCCGCCGCCGAGGAAUUCAAACGUGCAGGUCAGCCGUUUUAGUCGCCCACAU
rnacentral:lncRNA from 1 species